rnacentral:lncRNA from 1 species
GAUACUUUCUUCUCCCCUGCUCUUCUUUUGAGGAGGAGGAGUAAAAGAGUGUUUGUAGUGGAGUUUAGUUGUCCAGAGGGUAAAACUGCCACACAAAUGAGCCUCUUGAAUAGGUUAACAAGUCACUUGUAAUUCAUUUCAUUCUUAGAUUCAGUCUGCAGUCUGCAUGCAGUAAUUUCCAGCUGACAAGACUUUUUUUUAUUGCCAUCUCUUUGUAUUUCAGCUUUUAAUUAUUCCAUAAUGACAGUCUUUGUGAACAACAGUUUUUAAAGCGACAGAUGUAGUGACUUCUGCAUUUUCUGAUAUUAGCAUGCAAAUCAACAUAAAACAUAGCCAGCUUUUUAUAGUCAGCUUUUUUUUUUUUUUUUUUUUUUUUUUUUUGGCAUGUUCUAUAUUGCUUGACACCAGAAUACUUACUGCUUGGAAAGAUGGAGGGAAAAACACUGUGUUUCAUAGCACUAUACAUCAUAAAAGAGCUAUCUGUAAUGACCACAUCAUCAGAUAAUAAUUUUCAAAAUUCCCAUCAUACUUUACCAAACAUGUCCUCAGUUAAACUCCUCCAAACCUGUUUAUUUGAAUUGAAAACAGAGCCUGUUCCUCCAAUGUUUCCAGAGAAAAGACGAGCUCUACUGUGGGAAACUCCCAGUGAUUCCCUGUGGUGA